CACCUUGGGACUGAGGUUCAGAGGGUGCUUGGUGAAAAGUGACAAUAGUUCAGUUGUAUUCCUUGCUGAAAAUGGAGAAUAUAAAGCAAACAUUGGUGUUUCCUAGAUUCCUUUCACUAAUGACAUAUGUUGUUUACAUGCAACAUCUCUUUAAUUCCACAGCCCGAGGCAUGGUUGCAAUACUGAGUUUUCCUACAGGAAGAAAGAAACGCACAGAAAAAGAAACCAAAGCACGGGAUGCUAAGCAACUCACUGGAGAAGAAGACUUGCCCCAGGAUCCACUCUGUCGAGAAAUGGACAGGAAGAAACCAUACUGGAAUGUGAAUGUGGUGAUGCUAUUUGAAAUCAUGUGAAAGGGUGGUAGGAAGAGGGUAAGACGUAGUGUGCAGCUCUGGGAAGAAUUGGCAAGCCGUCAUCAGGCAGGUGACAUCUGGGGG
rnacentral:lncRNA from 1 species